GGAUGAACGCUGGCGGCGUGCCUAAUACAUGCAAGUCGAGCGAACAGAUGAGGAGCUUGCUCCUCUGACGUUAGCGGCGGACGGGUGAGUAACACGUGGAUAACCUACCUAUAAGACUGGGAUAACUUCGGGAAACCGGAGCUAAUACCGGAUAAUAUAUUGAACCGCAUGGUUCAAUAGUGAAAGACGGUUUUGCUGUCACUUAUGGAUGGAUCCGCGCCGCAUUAGCUAGUUGGUAAGGUAACGGCUUACCAAGGCAACGAUGCGUAGCCGACCUGAGAGGGUGAUCGGCCACACUGGAACUGAGACACGGUCCAGACUCCUACGGGAGGCAGCAGUAGGGAAUCUUCCGCAAUGGGCGAAAGCCUGACGGAGCAACGCCGCGUGAGUGAUGAAGGUCUUCGGAUCGUAAAACUCUGUUAUUAGGGAAGAACAAAUGUGUAAGUAACUAUGCACGUCUUGACGGUACCUAAUCAGAAAGCCACGGCUAACUACGUG
rnacentral:rRNA from 1 species